rnacentral:rRNA from 1 species
UGGGGAAUAUUGGACAAUGGGGGCAACCCUGAUCCAGCAAUGCCGCGUGUGUGAAGAAGGCCUUCGGGUUGUAAAGCACUUUAGGCUGUGAGGAAGAUGUAUUGUUUAAGAGAUGAUACAUUUGACUGUAGCAGUGGAAUAAGCACCGGCUAACUCUGUGCCAGCAGCCGCGGUAAUACAGAGGGUGCGAGCGUUAAUCGGAGUUACUGGGCGUAAAGGGCGCGUAGGCGGUAGAUUAAGUGAGUUGUGAAAUCCCUGGGCUUAACCUAGGAACUGCGACUUAUACUGGUUUACUAGAGUACUGUAGAGGGUAGUGGAAUUUCCGGUGUAGCGGUGAAAUGCGUAGAGAUCGGAAGGAACACCAGUGGCGAAGGCGGCUACCUGGACAGAUACUGACGCU